GUGUGUUGUGUGUGUGCUAAAGUUUCUUAUCCAUAGGAAUUGCUGUGUGUACCUUUUUCUGAAAUUGAGGUGUGAGUGUGUGUGUGCGCUAAAGUUUCUUAUCCAUAGGAAUUGCAGUGUGUACCGUUUUC